CACAUCUCUCUUAUCCCCCACCUCUCCUUCUCCAACUCCGGCCGCCGCCACGGCCAGGCCGGCGUGGUGGUGCGCCUCCGCAGCCCAUCCAUCCACCAGCACCACCAUCACACGACCACUCCACAACCAGCGCCACCCAACCACCCAUCCUCGCCAUCUCCAUCACCCGCCGCUGCAUCAUCACCAAUCAGCCACCGCCGCGCCAUCACCAGCACCUCCAUACACCACCAUCCAUCAGCGCCACCAUCUGCAGCUACCGCUGCAUCUCGCGUGCUCGACCAGACAAGAGGGUCACGGGCAUCUGGUCCUCCGUGUUAGCGCCCCCGUGUUGUUGAUGUUCUUCUCCUUUCCCCCUUGCUGCUUCUUCCCUUCACGCUGAUGCUGCUGCCUUCCUUGCACCCCCUUGCUGCUACUACGAUCUGAACCCUCCUUGCUUUUGCUCUUCCCUCGUCCCAGCCUGCUGCUCUCUCAAUCUCUGCUGCUGCUAUUCUCUAAGCCCCCCACGCUGCUGGCGUUCCUCUUCUUUCCCACGUCUAUGCUGCUUUCUUCUCCCCAAAACUGCUGCUGUACCUUCUCCCUAAUUCCCCUCUUCUCCUAACCUUGUUGCUGUACUUUUCUGAACCCCUACUACUGUUGUUUCCCUCAUUAUCUUUCUCUGAAUUUUCUGUAAGCUGAGAUGUGUAAUGCUUUGUAAUGUUCAGAUUUGAGUAGUGCUUGACACUUGUUCAGUUUCAGACUUGUCCUUGAUUAAUAGUACUUGUGUUGUUCAUCUCAGAGUACUAGAAUUAUGUCUUGUAACCUCCCCCUAUUUGCAUAUGUGUGAUGUGUGUUCUGUAGUGUUUUUGUUAACUUUGUUCAUGUGAAAACAUAUAUGUUUGUGUUGUGAUAUAUUUUUGUCCCUAUCAUAUUAGCUUGUUUCUUUCCUUCUGUCAUUGCUAGUUAUAUAUGUGUGAGUGUUUGUGUUGUGAGAGUUGUACUGUUACAUUGUGAUUCUCAUUUAAAAUGUAAGAGUACUAGCUAUAUACUCCCUCCAUUCCUAAAUAUAGGGUGUAUAGUUUUUGGCACGGAAUUAAAGAACGCACGUGGAGGGAAAAUUUCACAAGUUCUGGGCGAGAUUACACCUGACUAAUUGACAUGAAUAAAAAGAGAAAUGUAAUCAAAUCCCUAAAAAAUUAAUCCAAACGAGUGGUGCAACGCAAUGCACCUUAUAUUUCGGAUUUUUUCUCAGAAAUCUAUACACCUUAUAUCAAGGAACGGAGGGAGUAUGUCAUAUAUAUUCUAUUCAUGUAUGAUAGUUAUGUGUUCUUGUCUAGUAGGUUUCCCUAAUAUUGAUUCUCGUUUGUGUUAGUGUUUUAAUCCCUCAAGCCUAAUAAAAAUACCAAAAAGACAAUGAGUAAAAUCUGAAUUUCCCCUUGCUGUUUACCCUUUCUUUGUCGUCAACCUUAGCUAGUUUAGGUUAUUAUUUUCUUGGAAUCCUCUCUUAAAAUUUUGUCACCUAGCUUUAGCUGAGCAUUGCUGCUGUCGCCUAGUCCCUGUGGAGAACACGACAUCCGUAGUUUGGGGCGUAAAAAACCCUGCUAUAUUACAACUGAUCAUUUUGGCGCCGUUGUCGAGGACCAGCGUCGAGCGUUUGUGUGAGGCUUUAGACUAGGUUUAGCUUGUUUCCUUUUUGUGCUUUAUAUAUUUGUGAUAUAUCUCUAGCCACUAACCCCUGUUCUAGUUAGUAUCUUUUUGUCUUCUUUUCCUUUUUGCAGGUUGGAUUAUCCUCUCGGUUAUGGCUUACUAUUCAGAUCAUCAUGCUUAUGCGAGCAACACUACAAACAGCACGGAAAGUGUUCAAGAACUGAUAGGUAAGAUUUCCCAUCGAUUAGAUGAUUUAGCUCGGCAGCGAGAAGGAGUUUUUGAGGAUAGGCCUAGUUCUUACGAUCCUUAUUCCAGUGGCCAUCCUUAUGUUGCUCCUACUUGCCAUAUUUGUGGAUUUCAGGGCCAUUCACCCGCUGAAUGUCAGUGUGGCUACUCUCACACUCCGGAUUGUUUUGGCAUGAGCUUCGCUCAAGAGCAUAGCUCAUACCAAAACAAUUACUCACAUGGGUGGCCUGAAAUCCCGAAUAUGUCAUAUAGGAGCAACAACCCUGAGAUCUCACAGUUUGGUUCUAGUAAUCAUAUGCAGGGAUUUAGGUACAAUGAGGAGAGCCACAACUAUGCACCACAACAAUUCCAUUCAGCUCCUACUCAUAUACCACAGCACCAGGAGAUGUGUCCAAUGGAGUUAAAUGGUCCUCCAUUUGGUCAACCAACAACUCCAGCACCUGUUGUGCAAUCUCAUGUGCAAGUGCCCACACAAGAUGAGUUCGAUGACAUAGACAAGCUCACACUUUUGAGUCUCGAGUUCACUUGGAGUGCCGAGGAUGAUCCUAUUAGGAAGGUGAUACUUGAGGAAAUGAAGAAGAUUAAGAGUGGAAAAGAGCUAGUGGAAGAAGUAAGGAAGAUUGAGAAGAACAUCAACGCUGGCAGCACUAUUUCUUCACAGCUAGAGCUGAGUGUUGCUGAGAUAUCCAUUGAUACAUGUGAGGUACCAACACCUUCACAUUCAGCUGAGCAAGAUAGCGAGAGUCCAGAGGAAGAGAUACUUCAGAUCCAAGAAGAAAUUCUCGAAGCCAAGGCACAAGAUGAUCUAGAGCUCGAACAACAAAGUGAUCAAGUUGAAGACUCAUCAUCUACUACUCCUGAAGAAGUACAAGAAGCUGUUGUAGAUGAAGAUGAAGAACAUGAGAUUCAUUUGCCUAUUGUCAUACCAGAGCGUGAUGUGUCAGGUUUACUCAAUCCUCUUGAUGACAUUAUGCCUUGUGAUUUCUUUGCUACUACCUUGCAUUACAUGAUACCAUCACUUAAGAUUGAUUUGAAAACUCAUUUGCUUGGAUAUGAUGAUAUAUACCCUGUUAGUGGCAUUACUCUCAUUUGUGAUGACCAUAGUUACUUUCCUCGCGCUAAUCCUAUGCUUAAUGAAACAUAUCACUCCCAUGCUAGUCUUGAGCUUAAUGAUAAAUAUCAUCCUCAUGUUAGUGUUGACCUUGCUGAUUUCUACCAUCCUAAACAUGUGCUUUAUAGCUAUGCUUAUGUAAUUGGAUACUCUAUCGAUGACUAAGAGGGCAUUCUCUCUGUCACUUGUAUUGGCUUGGUUGUUGAGUGUUCUUUCAGGUUGAUGCUUGUGUACCAUUUACUACGAGUUGACCGAGUUCGAGAUGACAUUCCCUGGGAUCCUGGUGGACUCAGAGCAUGGGGAUGAGGAGAAGCAAGGGGGCACACACGAGGAAGGGAGAAGCUGGAGUAGGCAUGAGGAUAGAGAAGCAAAAGGAGAGGAGCUGCAGUUGGUGAGGUGAUCGAGCGAGUGCUACUUCCUAUGAAAACCCGGUGAGCUGUUUCAUGACCCAUUCCUAGUAUAUCAUCCAUUGAUACAUGCUGAAAUCAAAUGUUAUUUGGGUUGCUUAAGCCAUGUCUUAAAUGUUGCCCCACUGAAUUUUACUUGAAAUAUGGUGCUUGAUGAGAAUAUGUGAACUGAGCGUUGAAUGCCUGGUAAACUAGUGAUCUAUACAAUGCUUGCUUUGCUGAAAGUAGUGGAAGUUAUUAGUUUUGAGUGCUCAAAUCCCUAGUAUACUAGAAAACUUAAUCAUUUUCUGCUUUUACCUCGAUACACCUAGAUCACCACGUUUAGAUUCUGAAUUUGUGCUAAGUGUGUUCCCAUUGAGAGCAAUCACCUAACCACUAUGGAUUAGCAUGCUAUGUUCCCUGGAUCGGUAGCAUGUGAACCAGACAUGGAGAAGUGAUGAUUCCUGUUUUUGUGCUUAUGUGUUGUUCAUUUAAGAUAAGUAAUAUUGAAUAAAUAAGUCUGACUACCUACAGUAGCAUGUCAUGUUCCCGGGAUCGGUGGCAUGUGAAAUCGGGUUAGCUUGGGCAGUAAUUAAUAAUAAAAAAAUGUAAUUGUCGAACCAGGUGUAUACCAUGUUCUCGGGAUCGGUGGUAUGUUCCUUUGGGGAGACAAACAAAAAAACUAAUAAUUGGUCGAGCCAGGUGUAUACCAUGUUCUCGGGAUCGGUGGUAUGUUCCUAUGGUGAGACUAAUAAUAAUAUAAUCAUUGCUUUAUCUCUGUAAAUAAGUGAUUUGAUCACAAGAUUUAAUUCCAGUUCAUUUUGUUCUUGGGAUCAUGCUCUCUUUAGGAACCAUUUGGCGCAGUCAUCAUUUAAACUUGUUGAUCCUCUUUUAUCUCUGUAAAAGUUUAAAAUGGUCAUGCUUACUAGUAUCCUACUGCUUUGUAGCACUCCUAACCAUUAAUUUUCACUAGCUAAGUCUGAAGCAUGCCUUGUUUGGAGAUCUAUUUUACCAGGACAUUCCUUACUCAGUUUACUGUUCAUUAUCUUGCCUUUAUCAUAUUCCUUUGCUUGAGGACAAGCAAAGAUUUAAGUGUGGGGGAACUUGAUAAGUGCAUUUCAUAUAUAUAAUUUGGCACUCAAAUUUAGCAUCUAUCGUGAUAUAUCCAUCCAUUCUUGCUAUGAGUUGUGAUAUAUUUGAAUGAAAAUCAUAUAAAAGAUCAUUUACUUGUCAUUUGUUUCUUUUGCAGAAAAGUGCGCAAGGCACUAUAAUCGUCAAGAUUUUUACUAUGUGGCUAACGAGACGAGAGAAGGGCUUGUGUGUGACGACAAGAAGUAACCAAAGGGGCUAACUAUAGAAGAGAGGGGAUCUACUUGGGAAGGAAGAAGAUAGUAGGAGGGCCCAUGUGCAAACAUCAAAAUCUGCUGUGAGGGGAUCAAACUCCCUAGGUCACUACACAAUUCCCCUCGGGCCUGGCUACACAUCUCUCUUCUCCCCCACCUCUCCUUCUCCAACUCCGGCCGCCGCCACGUCCAGGCCAGCGUGGUGGUGCGCCUUCGCAGCACAUCCAUCCACCAGCACCACCAUCACACGACCACUCCACAACCAGCGCCACCCAGCCACCCAUGCUCACCAUCUCCAUCACCCGCCGCUGCAUCAUCACCAAUCAGCCACUGCUGCACCAUCACCAGCACCUCCAUACACCACCAUCCAUCAGCGCCACCAUCUACAGCUACCGCUGCAUCUCGCGUGCUCGACCAGACAAGAGGGUCACGGGCAUCUGGUCCUCCGCGUUAGCGCCCCCGUGAUGUUGAUGUUCUUCUCCUUUCCCCCCUGCUGCUUCUUCCCUUCACGCUGCUGCUGCUGCCUUCCUUGCACCCCCUUGCUGCUGCUACGAUCUGAACCCUCCUUGCUUUUGCUCUUCCCUCGUCCUAGCCUGCUGCUCUCUCAAUCUCUGCUGCUGCUAUUCUCUAAGCCCCCCACGCUGCUGCUGUUCCUCUUCUUUCCCACGUCUCUCCUGCUUUCUUCUCCCCAAAACUGCUGCUAUACCUUCUCCCUAAUUCCCCUCUUCUCCUAACCUCGUUGUUGUACUUUUCUGAACCCCUACUACUCCUGUUUCCCUCAUUAUCUUUCUCUGAAUUUUCUGUAAGCUGAGAUGUGUAAUGCUUUGUAAUGUUCAGAUUUGAGUAGUGCUUGACACUUGUUCAGUUUCAGACUUGUCCUUGAUUAAUAGUACUUGUGUUGUUCAUCUCAGAGUACUAGAAUUAUGUCUUGUAACCUCCCCCUGUUUGCAUAUGUGUGAUGUGUGUUCUGUAGUGUUUUUGUUAACUUUGUUCAUGUGAAAACAUAUAUGUUUGUGUUGUGAUAUAUUUUUGUCCCUAUCAUAUUAGCUUGUUUCUUUCCUUCUGUCAUUGCUAGUUAUAUAUGUGUGAGUGUUUGUGUUGUGAGAGUUGUACUGUUACAUUGUGAUUCUCAUUUAAAAUGUAAGAGUACUAGCUAUAUAUGUCAUAUAUAUUCUGUUCAUGUAUGAUAGUUAUAUGUGUUCUUG
rnacentral:lncRNA from 1 species